UACAGAGGUCCCAAGCGUUGUUCGGAUUCACUGGGCGUAAAGGGUGCGCAGGUGGGCUGGUAAGUUCGAUGUGAAAGCCCCGGGCUUAACCCGGGAAUGGCAUUGGAUACUACUGGUCUGGAGGAUUGGAGGGGGGACUGGAAUUCUUGGUGUAGCAGUGAAAUGCGUAGAUAUCAAGAGGAACACCAGUGGCGAAGGCGAGUCCCUGGACAAUUCCUGACACUGAGGCACGAAAGCCAAGGGAGCAAACAGG
rnacentral:ncRNA from 2 species